rnacentral:rRNA from 1 species
AGCGACGCCGCGUGGGUGAAGAAGCGCCUCGGCGCGUAAAGCCCUGUCAGCAGGGAAGAAAAUGACGGUACCUGAAGAAGAAGCCCGGCUAACUACGUCGCC